UUGGCUAGAGAGAAAAAUAUAUAUAUUUUAUUUUUUCUUUCCCUCAUUCUCUCUCGCGACUGGUCCAACGCCUUUGUCCGUCGUCAUCACUAUCUCCACCGCAUGUGCAACCAGCGACGAUUCAAGUGUCGAAAUAAUAGUCUUUGGUUCAAUGAUGUUUCAAUCAGUUUUCCUUGAACAAGUUGCAGAACUUGGCUGGACAACACUUAGAUAUCCUUGAGAACUUGACUCCGACAGUCAGGAAGCGUGUCGAGGUUCUAAGAGAGAUUCAAGUUCUUCUUACAAAUUGGACGUUUUGCUGCCACCAAGAUUCAGACUUGAGGGAAGCUUUGCAGCUGGUGCUAGUUCCCAAACUCUUCUCACAAAAGGGCAUAGCAAUGUGGAGUAUAGAUUAUUUUUAAGAACCUCAAAUUUAACAACCUUCAAUGGACCUAUGAAAUAUCAAAGUUUCUUAAGAAGUACUUAAUUUCACUUUUUUUUUUCAAAAUUAAGAAUAAAAUUUGUUUUAAGAUACUUUCAUUACAUUCUUUGAUGGAGAUACUCUUAUUGACCAA